rnacentral:rRNA from 1 species
UACGUAGGGGGCAAGCGUUGUCCGGAAUCAUUGGGCGUAAAGCGCGUGUAGGCGGCCCGAUAAGUCGGCUGUGAAAGUCAGGGGCUCAACCCUUGGAAGCCGGCCGAUACUGUCGGACUAGAGUCCGGAAGAGGCGAGUGGAAUUCCCGGUGUAGCGGUGAAAUGCGCAGAUAUCGGGAGGAACACCAAUGGCGAAGGCAGCUCGCUGGGACGGUACUGACGCUGAGGCGCGAAAGCGUGGGGAGCAAACAGG